CGCGCUCAGGCUCAGGGACACGGUCAGUGUGGUCGUUUGGAUAUAGAUCUAAGCACGGAGGAGGGAACAAGACGGAGCUUAGCCCUGUUUUCUCUCGAUCCCACCGCCUGUAGACUGGAGGUGGAGUCUUGGCCGAUGCGUUCCUCACCUGUCCUAGGAAGCCCAGAGGAAGUGUGCCUGGCCCCUGGACACCAAACCUGAACUCCCCAUCCUCUCCCCGUCAUCGUCCCCAUCCCGGGUAGUGCUCACCUGUGCAUUUUCGGGUGGAAUCGUCUGACUGACCCCCUGAGCUGGGUGUUGCUAUGGCUACGUAAUUAACAAGACUUCUCUAUGUAUCCUGUGACCAUGAGGCCAGAGACAGAAAAGAAACAAAGCUUUAGAAAGAAAGGCAAGUAGACCCCAAGAUUUUGAGAACAUUGGCUCACUGUUCCACACCUGAUACCCUCCCCCACUUCCAGUCCUCUUCUGA